rnacentral:rRNA from 1 species
GGUGAAAGCUUUAGUGCCUGAAGAUGAGCUCGCGUCUGAUUAGCUAGUUGGAGUGGUAAAGGCACCCCAAGGCGACGAUCAGUAGCUGGUCUGAGAGGAUGAUCAGCCACACUGGGACUGAGACACGGCCCAGACUCCUACGGGAGGCAGCAGUGGGGAAUUUUCCGCAAUGGGCGAAAGCCUGACGGAGCAAUACCGCGUGAGGGAGGAAGGCUCUUGGGUCGUAAACCUCUUUUGUCAGGGAAGAACACAAUGACGGUACCUGACGAAUCAGCAUCGGCUAACUCCGUGCCAGCAGCCGCGGUAAUACGGGGGAUGCAAGCGUUAUCCGGAAUUAUUGGGCGUAAAGCGUCCGCAGGUGGUUGUCCAAGUCUGCUGUUAAAGCAUGGGGCUUAACUCCAUAUAGGCAGUGGAAACUGGACGACUAGAGUACGGUAGGGGUCGCGGGAAUUCCCAGUGUAGCGGUGAAAUGCGUAGAUAUUGGGAAGAACACCAGUGG